CUGAGGUGGCAGAGGCUGAGGUGGAGAGCACCGGCUGAGGCAAGAAGUGCUGAGGUGGGAGAACUGGGCUGAGGUGGCAAAUGCUGAGCUGGCAGACGCUCAGGCUGAGGUGGGAAAGGCUGAGGUAAGGUGGUGGAGGCUGAGGUAAGCGCUGAGAUGGGGGCACAAUGUGAAAUGGAAAGCACUGACAUGCAGAGCUCAGGAUGAUGCAAGACACUCCAAGGCAAGAAGCAUGAGGGAGCUCUGGCUUAGGUGGGAAAUGCUGAGGUGGGGGACACAGGCUGAGGCAAGAACUGCUGAGCACCUUCAAGGAAGAGAAGAAAAAGAAAACUUCCAAAUAACUGUGAGCAAAUAGAAGGGAAAAACGAAAACACUAAUGGUGGAGGAGAAGGAAAGAAACUCUGGACAGAGUGAGCACCCCUUAACUAAGAGCUGGGUCACAUGGGAGAGUUGAAGCUAUUAAAAAUGUGAGCAAUAUGAUUUCCCUGGAGAAAAGGUUCAGACAAGAAAGUAGGAAGAUGCUAAGAAAUAUCAAUCAAUUAGGAGGAGAAAAACAAACCCCAGAAGGAGGAGGAGAAGGAAAGGGACUGUGGACAGAGUGAGCACAACAUAAUUGAGAGGCUCGGGCAACAUAUGGCUAUGGAGCAUUUUAAUCCCUUGAGAAGUUUGGGCUCCCUGUAACAUAGGUUCAGGUCUUUGUCCUGUCACUUAUGGAGGAUAUUGCAACCCAGAGCAGUGUGACAUCCCUGUAAUUCAGAAGGAGACCUCUGUCCAUUAUGGCUUAGGGCUAGUUCAGAGCCAUUUGUACUUUGCCCUGCUUGUAAUUUAGGUUUAGGUCAUUUGCUUCUUCCCCUUUUGGAACUGUGCCUAGUGUGUAGUAUAGCUGGUGUGACCACUCUGUAACUGAAGUGUAAGGCAUAUAUGUCCAGCGAAUAAGAACUUAGAACGACAUUUGUACUAUGGCCUGGGUGACAACCCUGUAUCCAGGGUUUUUAUCUCUCUUUUGUAUAUUAGAGUACUCCUUUCUUAUUCAACAUGUACUUCCCUGUAAGCAGGGCAUAGGUAUUCCAUUAUAUAUCAUUUCAUUUCUGUCUAGUUAAUUGUACCCUUUUCCAUGAAGAGCGUACAUCUUUUACCCUUCUUCCCCUUUUUGGAGUGGAGAACUGCCCCCAUUUAAGACAACUGGUCAACUCUCCUGUCACUAUGAGAUUUUUUCUGAUCUGGGAAGUGUUUAACUUUUCGCAUGCAUGUGCUGAGGAGUGCGAAUGAUAGAGAUGGGUAUGAAAGAAGAAUUAUUUUUAUUUUAUUUUUUUUAAUCGCUGCAGCGCUUUUUUUUUUCCGUUACACUUCCCAGAAUCAAAAAAAAACCUUAAAGUGCACAGAUAUAUUUCACCUUCCACUCAUCAUAUACAGGGUUAAAAGAGCUCUCAGAUCUCAUGACUAUUUCCUCAGCAACGGUUUAAUCAUUUAAAAAUAUUGACAGAGGGACCUCACUGUAAUUCAGGAGAAGGUCGCUGUCCUUUCGGCUAUUGGCAUUAAGUUUAUGUAGCACCCUAAUUUCAAUUGGCUGCCCGUAAUUCAAGUACAGGUCGAAUCCCGCUCCUUCAGAAGGGAUUAGAACAAGUUUCAUUCCAUUGGUCCUGAGACCUACCUGUAAUUUGAGUUCUGUUCUCCCUCUUCCCAUUUUUCAGGCCCCUCAUUUAGCAUUAAUAUGGCGAGUUACUAACCUGUAAUUCGGGUGCAAGUCACGGUCCUGUUGCUUCUGGGGGCGAUCUUGCUCUGCGGAAGGCGAUGCAGCGUGACCUCGCUGUAAUUCAGGAGAAGGUCGCUGUCCUUUGGGCUCUUGGCAUUAAAAGUUUCUGUAGCAGCCUAAUUUCAACGGACCGCCCGUAAUUCAGGUGCAGGUCGAAUCCCUCUCCUUUAGAAGGGAUUAGGACGAGGUUCGUGCCAUUGGUACUGAGGCCUGCCUGUAAUUUGGGGUUCUGGUCUCCGCCCUCUUCACAUUUUGCCAUUGCGGCCUGUUGAUAGUGUGACCACUCAGUAACUGGGGUGCGGGUCGCAUGUCUCCUGCUCCCGAGAGCUUAGAACUACGUUUGUACCAUGGCCUGGGUGACCGCCCUGUAUCCAGGGUUCUGGUCUCCUCCCUUUGCGCUAUGAAAAAACAAUUCUCUCUUAUGCGCCUAGUCGGAGUGACCACUCUGUUCGUAGGGAGGGAGUUUCCUCCUGUUGCUCACGCGGCAACGUGCGUUUGAGCAGUCUGACCUCCCUGUAAUCAGGCUUCAGGUCGGCCCUUUUGGGCUCCUGCUGCUGGCUACUGAGAGUGACUACCCCGUAAUGUUGGGUGCAAGUCACCAUAAGGCGCGGCUGACAGGGGAUCCUGUGAGCGCUUUAGUGAGCCCAGCCCCACGGCCUCCCUGAAAGGAAUGCUCGGGUCUCUGUUUCAGCCGAGUCAGCGUGGCAGUCCUGUUAAUUAGGGUGCAUGCCACGUACCUCCCUCUUCUAUGGGCACAUUGUGGCCCUUGCCAUCUUGACCAGCGCGACCUCCCUGUAACCGAGGGAAAGGUCUUUGCCCGCCUCUCAUUUCGCAUUAAUACGCCUUGAGCUGGCGAGUUUGACUGACCAACCUGGAAAUCAGGGAGCUCUAGGUUGGACCUCUGCUUGCUCUGUGGGAGGGGUUCGCAGCAUUUUAGUGAUUGGGGCUGGGUGACCUCCCUGUAACGAGGGAUCGUGCCUCUGCCCUUUUGUCUCUCGAGGUCAUGCCACUGUGGCUGCUGGUCAGCAUGAGCACCCUGUAAGCAGGGUCCAAGUCUCAUCAGACACUAUUUGUCCUGCCCCCGAGAAACUCUGUCCAGGGUCCCCGCCCGUUCCGCACCCUUCCCAGCUUGCCUGGAAUUCCACAUCCUCGCCUCGCUGCGGCUCAUCCGCCUGGCCGCCGGAGAUGAGACAUUCUGCAGCAGUUGCAGCGCUGCCAAGGAAGAGAAGAAAGAAGGAAGAUGCUAAGAAAUGUCAAGCAAGUAGGAGGAAAGCAAGCAAGCAAGCCCCUGAAGCUGGAGGAGAAGGAAAGGGACUCUGGACAGAGCGAGCAGCCCGUAAUUAAGAGCCCCAUGUCACUUAGAGCUUGUGAGCCAUUUCUUUCCUUGAGCAGUGUGGCCUCCCUGUAAGCAGGGCUCAGGUCUGUGCUCUCUUAGCCAGUGGGCAGUCUGCUCUUUUAGCUGGCUAGGGCGAGUGACUGCCCCGUAAUUCGGGUGCAAGUCACGGUCCUGUUGCUUCUGGGGGCGAUCGAGCUCUGCGGAAGGCGGUGCAGCGUGACCUCGCUGUAAUUCAGGAGAAGGUCGCUGUCCUUUGGGCUCUUGGCAUUAAAAGUUUCUGUAGCAGCCUAAUUUCAACGGACCGCCCGUAAUUCAGGUGCAGGUCGAAUCCCUCUCCUUUAGAAGGGAUUAGGACGAGGUUCGUGCCAUUGGUACUGAGGCCUGCCUGUAAUUUGGGGUUCUGGUCUCCGCCCUCUUCACAUUUUGCCAUUGCGGCCUGUUGAUAGUGUGACCACUCAGUAACUGGGGUGCGGGUCGCAUGUCUCCUGCUCCCGAGAGCUUAGAACUACGUUUGUACCAUGGCCUGGGUGACCGCCCUGUAUCCAGGGUUCUGGUCUCCUCCCUUUGCGCUAUGAAAAAACAAUUCUCUCUUAUGCGCCUAGUCGGAGUGACCACUCUGUUCGUAGGGAGGGAGUUUCCUCCUGUUGCUCACGCGGCAACGUGCGUUUGAGCAGUCUGACCUCCCUGUAAUCAGGCUUCAGGUCGGCCCUUUUGGGCUCCUGCUGCUGGCUACUGAGAGUGACUACCCCGUAAUGUUGGGUGCAAGUCACCAUAAGGCGCGGCUGACAGGGGAUCCUGUGAGCGCUUUAGUGAGCCCAGCCCCACGGCCUCCCUGAAAGGAAUGCUCGGGUCUCUGUUUCAGCCGAGUCAGCGUGGCAGUCCUGUUAAUUAGGGUGCAUGCCACGUACCUCCCUCUUCUAUGGGCACAUUGUGGCCCUUGCCAUCUUGACCAGCGCGACCUCCCUGUAACCGAGGGAAAGGUCUUUGCCCGCCUCUCAUUUCGCAUUAAUACGCCUUGAGCUGGCGAGUUUGACUGACCAACCUGGAAAUCAGGGAGCUCUAGGUUGGACCUCUGCUUGCUCUGUGGGAGGGGUUCGCAGCAUUUUAGUGAUUGGGGCUGGGUGACCUCCCUGUAACGAGGGAUCGUGCCUCUGCCCUUUUGUCUCUCGAGGUCAUGCCACUGUGGCUGCUGGUCAGCAUGAGCACCCUGUAAGCAGGGUCCAAGUCUCAUCAGACACUAUUUGUCCUGCCCCCGAGAAACUCUGUCCAGGGUCCCCGCCCGUUCCGCACCCUUCCCAGCUUGCCUGGAAUUCCACAUCCUCGCCUCGCUGCGGCUCAUCCGCCUGGCCGCCGGAGAUGAGACAUUCUGCAGCAGUUGCAGCGCUGCCAAGGAAGAGAAGAAAGAAGGAAGAUGCUAAGAAAUGUCAAGCAAGUAGGAGGAAAGCAAGCAAGCAAGCCCCUGAAGCUGGAGGAGAAGGAAAGGGACUCUGGACAGAGCGAGCAGCCCGUAAUUAAGAGCCCCAUGUCACUUAGAGCUUGUGAGCCAUUUCUUUCCUUGAGCAGUGUGGCCUCCCUGUAAGCAGGGCUCAGGUCUGUGCUCUCUUAGCCAGUGGGCAGUCUGCUCUUUUAGCUGGCUAGGGCGAGUGACUGCCCCGUAAUUCGGGUGCAAGUCACGGUCCUGUUGCUUCUGGGGGCGAUCGAGCUCUGCGGAAGGCGGUGCAGCGUGACCUCGCUGUAAUUCAGGAGAAGGUCGCUGUCCUUUGGGCUCUUGGCAUUAAAAGUUUCUGUAGCAGCCUAAUUUCAACGGACCGCCCGUAAUUCAGGUGCAGGUCGAAUCCCUCUCCUUUAGAAGGGAUUAGGACGAGGUUCGUGCCAUUGGUACUGAGGCCUGCCUGUAAUUUGGGGUUCUGGUCUCCGCCCUCUUCACAUUUUGCCAUUGCGGCCUGUUGAUAGUGUGACCACUCAGUAACUGGGGUGCGGGUCGCAUGUCUCCUGCUCCCGAGAGCUUAGAACUACGUUUGUACCAUGGCCUGGGUGACCGCCCUGUAUCCAGGGUUCUGGUCUCCUCCCUUUGCGCUAUGAAAAAACAAUUCUCUCUUAUGCGCCUAGUCGGAGUGACCACUCUGUUCGUAGGGAGGGAGUUUCCUCCUGUUGCUCACGCGGCAACGUGCGUUUGAGCAGUCUGACCUCCCUGUAAUCAGGCUUCAGGUCGGCCCUUUUGGGCUCCUGCUGCUGGCUACUGAGAGUGACUACCCCGUAAUGUUGGGUGCAAGUCACCAUAAGGCGCGGCUGACAGGGGAUCCUGUGAGCGCUUUAGUGAGCCCAGCCCCACGGCCUCCCUGAAAGGAAUGCUCGGGUCUCUGUUUCAGCCGAGUCAGCGUGGCAGUCCUGUUAAUUAGGGUGCAUGCCACGUACCUCCCUCUUCUAUGGGCACAUUGUGGCCCUUGCCAUCUUGACCAGCGCGACCUCCCUGUAACCGAGGGAAAGGUCUUUGCCCGCCUCUCAUUUCGCAUUAAUACGCCUUGAGCUGGCGAGUUUGACUGACCAACCUGGAAAUCAGGGAGCUCUAGGUUGGACCUCUGCUUGCUCUGUGGGAGGGGUUCGCAGCAUUUUAGUGAUUGGGGCUGGGUGACCUCCCUGUAACGAGGGAUCGUGCCUCUGCCCUUUUGUCUCUCGAGGUCAUGCCACUGUGGCUGCUGGUCAGCAUGAGCACCCUGUAAGCAGGGUCCAAGUCUCAUCAGACACUAUUUGUCCUGCCCCCGAGAAACUCUGUCCAGGGUCCCCGCCCGUUCCGCACCCUUCCCAGCUUGCCUGGAAUUCCACAUCCUCGCCUCGCUGCGGCUCAUCCGCCUGGCCGCCGGAGAUGAGACAUUCUGCAGCAGUUGCAGCGCUGCCAAGGAAGAGAAGAAAGAAGGAAGAUGCUAAGAAAUGUCAAGCAAGUAGGAGGAAAGCAAGCAAGCAAGCCCCUGAAGCUGGAGGAGAAGGAAAGGGACUCUGGACAGAGCGAGCAGCCCGUAAUUAAGAGCCCCAUGUCACUUAGAGCUUGUGAGCCAUUUCUUUCCUUGAGCAGUGUGGCCUCCCUGUAAGCAGGGCUCAGGUCUGUGCUCUCUUAGCCAGUGGGCAGUCUGCUCUUUUAGCUGGCUAGGGCGAGUGACUGCCCCGUAAUUCGGGUGCAAGUCACGGUCCUGUUGCUUCUGGGGGCGAUCGAGCUCUGCGGAAGGCGGUGCAGCGUGACCUCGCUGUAAUUCAGGAGAAGGUCGCUGUCCUUUGGGCUCUUGGCAUUAAAAGUUUCUGUAGCAGCCUAAUUUCAACGGACCGCCCGUAAUUCAGGUGCAGGUCGAAUCCCUCUCCUUUAGAAGGGAUUAGGACGAGGUUCGUGCCAUUGGUACUGAGGCCUGCCUGUAAUUUGGGGUUCUGGUCUCCGCCCUCUUCACAUUUUGCCAUUGCGGCCUGUUGAUAGUGUGACCACUCAGUAACUGGGGUGCGGGUCGCAUGUCUCCUGCUCCCGAGAGCUUAGAACUACGUUUGUACCAUGGCCUGGGUGACCGCCCUGUAUCCAGGGUUCUGGUCUCCUCCCUUUGCGCUAUGAAAAAACAAUUCUCUCUUAUGCGCCUAGUCGGAGUGACCACUCUGUUCGUAGGGAGGGAGUUUCCUCCUGUUGCUCACGCGGCAACGUGCGUUUGAGCAGUCUGACCUCCCUGUAAUCAGGCUUCAGGUCGGCCCUUUUGGGCUCCUGCUGCUGGCUACUGAGAGUGACUACCCCGUAAUGUUGGGUGCAAGUCACCAUAAGGCGCGGCUGACAGGGGAUCCUGUGAGCGCUUUAGUGAGCCCAGCCCCACGGCCUCCCUGAAAGGAAUGCUCGGGUCUCUGUUUCAGCCGAGUCAGCGUGGCAGUCCUGUUAAUUAGGGUGCAUGCCACGUACCUCCCUCUUCUAUGGGCACAUUGUGGCCCUUGCCAUCUUGACCAGCGCGACCUCCCUGUAACCGAGGGAAAGGUCUUUGCCCGCCUCUCAUUUCGCAUUAAUACGCCUUGAGCUGGCGAGUUUGACUGACCAACCUGGAAAUCAGGGAGCUCUAGGUUGGACCUCUGCUUGCUCUGUGGGAGGGGUUCGCAGCAUUUUAGUGAUUGGGGCUGGGUGACCUCCCUGUAACGAGGGAUCGUGCCUCUGCCCUUUUGUCUCUCGAGGUCAUGCCACUGUGGCUGCUGGUCAGCAUGAGCACCCUGUAAGCAGGGUCCAAGUCUCAUCAGACACUAUUUGUCCUGCCCCCGAGAAACUCUGUCCAGGGUCCCCGCCCGUUCCGCACCCUUCCCAGCUUGCCUGGAAUUCCACAUCCUCGCCUCGCUGCGGCUCAUCCGCCUGGCCGCCGGAGAUGAGACAUUCUGCAGCAGUUGCAGCGCUGCCAAGGAAGAGAAGAAAGAAGGAAGAUGCUAAGAAAUGUCAAGCAAGUAGGAGGAAAGCAAGCAAGCAAGCCCCUGAAGCUGGAGGAGAAGGAAAGGGACUCUGGACAGAGCGAGCAGCCCGUAAUUAAGAGCCCCAUGUCACUUAGAGCUUGUGAGCCAUUUCUUUCCUUGAGCAGUGUGGCCUCCCUGUAAGCAGGGCUCAGGUCUGUGCUCUCUUAGCCAGUGGGCAGUCUGCUCUUUUAGCUGGCUAGGGCGAGUGACUGCCCCGUAAUUCGGGUGCAAGUCACGGUCCUGUUGCUUCUGGGGGCGAUCGAGCUCUGCGGAAGGCGGUGCAGCGUGACCUCGCUGUAAUUCAGGAGAAGGUCGCUGUCCUUUGGGCUCUUGGCAUUAAAAGUUUCUGUAGCAGCCUAAUUUCAACGGACCGCCCGUAAUUCAGGUGCAGGUCGAAUCCCUCUCCUUUAGAAGGGAUUAGGACGAGGUUCGUGCCAUUGGUACUGAGGCCUGCCUGUAAUUUGGGGUUCUGGUCUCCGCCCUCUUCACAUUUUGCCAUUGCGGCCUGUUGAUAGUGUGACCACUCAGUAACUGGGGUGCGGGUCGCAUGUCUCCUGCUCCCGAGAGCUUAGAACUACGUUUGUACCAUGGCCUGGGUGACCGCCCUGUAUCCAGGGUUCUGGUCUCCUCCCUUUGCGCUAUGAAAAAACAAUUCUCUCUUAUGCGCCUAGUCGGAGUGACCACUCUGUUCGUAGGGAGGGAGUUUCCUCCUGUUGCUCACGCGGCAACGUGCGUUUGAGCAGUCUGACCUCCCUGUAAUCAGGCUUCAGGUCGGCCCUUUUGGGCUCCGGCUGCUGGCUACUGAGAGUGACUACCCCGUAAUGUUGGGUGCAAGUCACCAUAAGGCGCGGCUGACAGGGGAUCCUGUGAGCGCUUUAGUGAGCCCAGCCCCACGGCCUCCCUGAAAGGAAUGCUCGGGUCUCUGUUUCAGCCGAGUCAGCGUGGCAGUCCUGUUAAUUAGGGUGCAUGCCACGUACCUCCCUCUUCUAUGGGCACAUUGUGGCCCUUGCCAUCUUGACCAGCGCGACCUCCCUGUAACCGAGGGAAAGGUCUUUGCCCGCCUCUCAUUUCGCAUUAAUACGCCUUGAGCUGGCGAGUUUGACUGACCAGCCUGGAAAUCAGGGAGCUCUAGGUUGGACCUCUGCUUGCUCUGUGGGAGGGGUUCGCAGCAUUUUAGUGAUUGGGGCUGGGUGACCUCCCUGUAACGAGGGAUCGUGCCUCUGCCCUUUUGUCUCUCGAGGUCAUGCCACUGUGGCUGCUGGUCAGCAUGAGCACCCUGUAAGCAGGGUCCAAGUCUCAUCAGACACUAUUUGUCCUGCCCCCGAGAAACUCUGUCCAGGGUCCCCGCCCGUUCCGCACCCUUCCCAGCUUGCCUGGAAUUCCACAUCCUCGCCUCGCUGCGGCUCAUCCGCCUGGCCGCCGGAGAUGAGACAUUCUGCAGCAGUUGCAGCGCUGCCAAGGAAGAGAAGAAAGAAGGAAGAUGCUAAGAAAUGUCAAGCAAGUAGGAGGAAAGCAAGCAAGCAAGCCCCUGAAGCUGGAGGAGAAGGAAAGGGACUCUGGACAGAGCGAGCAGCCCGUAAUUAAGAGCCCCAUGUCACUUAGAGCUUGUGAGCCAUUUCUUUCCUUGAGCAGUGUGGCCUCCCUGUAAGCAGGGCUCAGGUCUGUGCUCUCUUAGCCAGUGGGCAGUCUGCUCUUUUAGCUGGCUAGGGCGAGUGACUGCCCCGUAAUUCGGGUGCAAGUCACGGUCCUGUUGCUUCUGGGGGCGAUCGAGCUCUGCGGAAGGCGGUGCAGCGUGACCUCGCUGUAAUUCAGGAGAAGGUCGCUGUCCUUUGGGCUCUUGGCAUUAAAAGUUUCUGUAGCAGCCUAAUUUCAACGGACCGCCCGUAAUUCAGGUGCAGGUCGAAUCCCUCUCCUUUAGAAGGGAUUAGGACGAGGUUCGUGCCAUUGGUACUGAGGCCUGCCUGUAAUUUGGGGUUCUGGUCUCCGCCCUCUUCACAUUUUGCCAUUGCGGCCUGUUGAUAGUGUGACCACUCAGUAACUGGGGUGCGGGUCGCAUGUCUCCUGCUCCCGAGAGCUUAGAACUACGUUUGUACCAUGGCCUGGGUGACCGCCCUGUAUCCAGGGUUCUGGUCUCCUCCCUUUGCGCUAUGAAAAAACAAUUCUCUCUUAUGCGCCUAGUAAUCAGGCUUCAGUUCGCACCCUUCUCAGCUUGCCUGGAAUUCCAUGUCCUCGCCUCGCUUCGGCUCAUCCGCCUGGCCGCCAGAGAUGAGACAUUCUGCAGCAGUUGCAGUGCUGCCAAGGAAGAGAAGAAAGAAGGAAGAUGCUACGAAAUGUCAAGCAAGUAGGAUGAAAGCAAGCAAGCAAGCCCCUGUAGCUGGAGGAGAAGGAAAGGGACUCUGGACAGAGCGAGCAGCCCGUAAUUAAGAGCCCCAUGUCACAGGGAGCUCUAGGUUGGACCUCUCCUUGCUCUGUGUGAGAAGUUUGCAGCAUUUUAGUAAUUGGGGCUGGUUGACCUCCCCUUAAUGAGGGAUCGUGCCUCUGCCCUUUUGUCUCUCGAGGUUAUGCCACUGUGGCUGGUGGUCAGCAUGAGCACCCUGUAAGCAGGGUCCAAAUCUCAUCAGACACUACUUGUCCUGCCCCCGAGAAACUCUGUCCAGGGUCCCUUUAUAUUGCUUUUCCUGGAAUAUGACAGCCAAGUGUCGUGGCUUUUUUUAUGCUCACUGCUUGAGAUGGACAUUUUUCAGCAGCUCCUGGUAAAUCCGAAUAGAGAUGCUCUCUUUUCGUUUUUGGAAUUCUACACUUCUGAAUUUGAAAACAUUCUGACGGUUUAUAACCAUUUUCACCAUCAGAACUCUUAAUGCAUUGGAAGGAUAAAUUCAGGAAACUGACCUUCAUUUCUCUGCUGUUUAAUGGUUUUAAAAGGCAAUUGUAUAUAAGAAACAGAAUCUCAAUUUUUUAGUGUAAUUUUAAGAAAAUUUUUCAUGAACCACAAUAUGAAUGAUUGAAUGAUUGAAUGAUUUUUUGCAGCCUCCUUUAACUGUUUCUAAUCAUGGAACUCUGAUAAUACAUCUAACAAUAUGUAUGGUCUUUCUUGAAAACGGCUUGUCAGUCAGUCUGCAAAAUAAUAUUUUGUGCCUUUAAUGUUCAGAUUCCAUUACAAAUGAGAUAGGACUGUUGUGUUGAUUUAUGAAAGUUUAACAUUUAUGAUUCCUUCUUAGUCAUUUUGAUUUUUUAUUUAGAAAUCUGGGAUUUAGCAAGUAGUCAUUUUCAUAUUCUUAAUCUGUUAGUGACAGCAAAUUGAUCAGAACUGAAGAACAAAGAUGCUUUGGAGCACUCUAAUAAGGCCAUUGAAGCACCCAUAUUAUUUACACCUAUCCCUUCUCUCUGCCCAUCAUAAAAUCCUCUUUAAUGCCAGAACAGUGAAAAUUAUGAAAUGUAGAAUUGAACUAUAUUUGUACCGAUUUUGAGGUGCUUGCCAAUUAGUAAUAGUAAACAGUACUGAAUAAUUUCCAUCUAAAUGUUGAUUUCAUCUUUAUGAGUUUCAAAAUAUUUCAAAUGUAUGUGACUAUGUGAUUUUUGACUAAACAAAUAAUCACUUUGGGUACCUCUAUACUGUGGCGCUAUUUUGGGAUACUUCCGGUUUCCCGAUAUAGUUAUUCCACAUCUUUUAAACAAGCCCAUUAUUUAUAAAUAUAAUGAACUUGCUAUUCUGACAUCCCUGUAAACCUCGUUCCGCAAGAAUUGAGAGAGAUUUCAGAAUAAGGGUUUAUGUGAAAUUUGGCACUGUGUAAAUAAUGCCAAAUUACAAAAUAAGAUCAAAUGCUUAUUGCAUAGCUUAAAUGGUAUAGGUUACUUUGAGCUAAGGUUGCAGUGUAGACUCACCCUUUCUAAAAUAAUACUAUUUCCUGCGAGGAGUGCAUAGUUGUAAGUGGAAGGAAAACAUGUAUUUGCAUUCCACACACACACAAAAACAACUCUGAGAUAUUUUAAAGUUGAAAGGUUUGUUAAUGCUUACUCCAGAUAAUGUCUUAAGUAAUAUUUUGAGAUCUCCAUAUCAUACUUUAAAAAAAAAAGCUACAACACUAAAUGUUUGUCUAGAUUCUAGAAACUAGUUGGUAAGAGUAUUCUCCUGUUUUGCAAUUUUCAAAUAACUACUCUGCUUUAGCUGUCACACCAACCAAAUUACAUCACAUAUUCAAUUUUAACUUUGCCCCAUUGUGUUAGGGUAUUUUUGAUAGGAGAGUAUUGGUAGUACUUGUGGUUACAUUUAUCUGUUUUUUAAUAUUGUAUUAAAUGAAAGCUACGGACUGAUGUUGUGGAAGGUUUACGUAGGAAUUUCCGUCAAAUGUUAGCUAUUAAUAUUGUUAGUGUAGAAGUGCAGUUUUGUGAUUAUUGUUUUUGAGGUCUGGUGUGAAAAAGGGUUAUGAGUUUUUGAAAAUUAUAGAUGGUUUUGUAUAUAUCAUUGGAUGUAACUUAGUAAAAGUUGAGGUUGUGUGUGUGUAUUAUUACAUGGAACUUAGAGGGCAAGUUGAGGUUGUUUAUAGGGUGCUGUUUGGAUGGAGUGAAGGUUAUCAAAGGGUGUGUAUUUGAAAAUUGCAAAAUUUUAUAAGAUCAAUAGAGAGCUGGUCCUACUCAGCUCUUUCUCUUUUGACUAAUUCCAAGGUGGGAUGAAGAGGACUUUGCACAAUUUAUAUUCACAGGGAUUUUCAGGAGUUGUACAUCUCCACAGGCUCUUGUGCAC